rnacentral:rRNA from 1 species
GAUGAACGCUUGCUACAGGCUUAACACAUGCAAGUCGAGGGGAAACGAUAUUGGAAGCUUGCUUCCGAUAGGCGUCGACCGGCGCACGGGUGAGUAACGCGUAUCCAACCUGCCCACCACGUUGGGGAUAACCUUGCGAAAGUAAGACUAAUACCCAAUGAUAUCCCACGAAGGCAUCGGAAUGGGAUUAAAGAUUUAUCGGUGAUGGAUGGGGAUGCGUCUGAUUAGCUUGUUGGCGGGGUAACGGCCCACCAAGGCAACGAUCAGUAGGGGUUCUGAGAGGAAGGUCCCCCACAUUGGAACUGAGACACGGUCCAAACUCCUACGGGAGGCAGCAGUGAGGAAUAUUGGUCAAUGGGCGAGAGCCUGAACCAGCCAAGUAGCGUGCAGGAUGACGGCCCUAUGGGUUGUAAACUGCUUUUAUAAGGGAAUAAAGUGAGCCUCGUGAGGCUUUUUGCAUGUACCUUAUGAAUAAGGACCGGCUAAUUCCGUG